rnacentral:rRNA from 1 species
GACGAACGCUGGCGGCGUGCUUAACACAUGCAAGUCGAACGGAAAGGCCCUGCUUGCAGGGUACUCGAGUGGCGAACGGGUGAGUAACACGUGGGUGAUCUGCCCUGCACUUCGGGAUAAGCCUGGGAAACUGGGUCUAAUACCGGAUAGGAGCCAUUUUUAGUGUGAUGGUUGGAAAGUUUUUUCGGUGUAGGAUGAGCUCGCGGCCUAUCAGCUUGUUGGUGGGGUAAUGGCCUACCAAGGCGGCGACGGGUAGCCGGCCUGAGAGGGUGGACGGCCACAUUGGGACUGAGAGACGGCCCAAGCUCCUACGGGAGGCAGCAGUGGGGAAGAUUGCACAAUGGGCGCAAGCCUGAUGCAGCGACGCCGCGUGGGGGAUGACGGCCUUCGGGUUGUAAACUACUUGCGCUAGGGACGAAGCUUUUUGUGACGGUACCUAGAUAAGAAGCACCGGCUAACUACGUG